UUUGAAGUGUAGUUCCAUUUCAGAUCCAAGAGAACGAGGCCAUAAGAGUCACCUUAGAAGCAUUUAGUGUUUAAUUAAAGCACACACAGAAACUCAACACACGUAAACACAUGCACUGAAAACCAAGUCACUACUUAGCCUAGUGAAAUGCUAACAGAGGAAAGCUGCUUGGAAUAGGACUUUAUGAAAUUGUGCUUACACUUUAACAAGUAGGUGAAUCAUAAAUGGUUCUAUUUGUGACUCUGGAGUUUUUCUUCUGGGUUCAUUAACCUUUUCUCUCCUCCUGCAGAUCUGGCUUGAUCCCACAAAAAAGAUAAAAACACAAAUGCGAAAUCGCUCCUGGCUUUUUACAUUUAAUGUAAAAUUUUAUCCAUCUUGUGCUUCUCAGAUGACUGAGAGUAUUUCCAGAUACCUCCUAUGCCUCCAGAUCCGGGCAGACAUUGUUUCUGGGCGCC